GGUGAGUAACACGUGGAUAACCUACCUAUAAGACUGGGAUAACUUCGGGAAACCGGAGCUAAUACCGGAUAAUAUUUUGAACCGCAUGGUUCAAAAGUGAAAGACGGUCUUGCUGUCACUUAUAGAUGGAUCCGCGCUGCAUUAGCUAGUUGGUAAGGUAACGGCUUACAAGGCAACGAUGCAUAGCCGACCUGAGAGGGUGAUCGGCCACACUGGAACUGAGACACGGUCCAG
rnacentral:rRNA from 1 species